rnacentral:rRNA from 1 species
GACGAACGCUGGCGGCGCGCUUAACACAUGCAAGUCGAACGGAAAGGCCUGCUUUCCCUUGUGGAUUGCGGGUACUCGAGUGGCGAACGGGUGAGUAACACGUGAGUGAUCUGCCCCCAACUUGGGUAUAAGCCUGGGAAACUGGGUCUAAUUCCCGAUAGGACUGCAGGGUGGUGCCUGUGGUGGAAAACGAUUUUCUAGUGGGUGGGGAUGAGCUCGCGGCCUAUCAGCUUGUUGGUGGGGUAAUGGCCUACCAAGGCGGCGACGGGUAGCCGGCCUGAGAGGGUGGACGGCCAGAUUGGGACUGAGAUACGGCCCAGACUCCUACGGGAGGCAGCAGGGGGGAAUAUUGCACAAUGGGCGGAAGCCUGAUGCAGCGACGCCGCGGGGGGGAUGACGGCCUUCGGGUUGUAAACUCCUUUCGACCGCGAGGAAGCCACCUGGUUGGAAGGGUGGUGACGGUAGUGGUAGAAGAAGCACCGGCUAACUACGUG